rnacentral:lncRNA from 1 species
AGCACAUUGAAUAUGUCAUACUACUCUCUCCUGGACUGCAGAGUUUUUGCUGACAAAUCUGCUGACAGCCAUGUUGGAACUCUCUUGAUUGUGGUGAAGCCUAAGAAACACUGUCUAAGCUAAAGGGCCAAGGUCAACAUCAACAGCGAAAGAGGAGACUUUGGGACUUGGAAGUGACUCCUAAAAUAGAGUAUUUUUAAAACUAUGGAACAUAACCUCAAUAACAUUAUUGAGAAUGGCUACUUGGCAAAUAAGGGAACUUUUGCAUCAGAGAUUAUUUAUGAUACAUCACAAUAGCAAUCUUAAAAAUGGAAGCAG